GCCGAUCAUGGGGGUCAAGGCCCGCUGUCUUGUAAACAGCAGGUCGUCGGUUCGAGUCCGACAAGCGGCUCCA
rnacentral:tRNA from 1 species